GACAUCGAUACAAAAUACGAUAGUAGUAGGCUCAUCAUACAUAUAACCAAAGAUUCAUCAGCUCAAAGUCAUCCAACUAGUAGUAAGCUGAUAAAUCGAGGCCAUCGAGGUAAGAUGCACGAAAUGGACGACGACGACGACGAAUAGACUUCUUGUUGGCCUCCCAAUACUCACGCAUAUUCUCCUUAACCGGAUACACGAUUAGCUCACGUACGGUCAUCGGCUGGAUGACGUUAGGAUCGGCUCCAUAGAGAAGAUGAGCAAUUUCCUCUUGCGCCUUCUCUGUGUUGUGACGUCCAUCGAAGAAGAAGUAAGAUCUUUGGUACUCACAUAGCUUCGAGUGCACGUUUCCCAUCCCGCAACCGUAAGCAUUAUGCGUCCCUACCCCGCAACACGAUGUGUUCGCCACAUAAAACCCUAUAGAUCAACAUGAAUCAUUUAGAUUAUAUUAUAUCUUCACGCGCGUUCGAUUAUCCUUGUGGCUUUUAUCAGAUCUUUGGUAUCUUUAAUCUGUUUUUUUGUUUGCAUUGUACUUAAUAAACGUUUAAUAAUAUGAUAAGAUCGCUGAAAAAUUCUCAAUGUACUAAACAACAUGCAACAAUUAAUUAGUUAGUGAAUAUUUUUUUUUGCUAAAUAGUGAAUAUUAUGGUGAUGACGAUGACUUACGGUAGUGAAUACUCCUGCCAGACGCAAUCCUACGCAAAACGGCGUUGUAGAAAUCGAAGACGGUGAACUGAAAACCACUGUUGGGUUUUUUAGCAAACUCGUUCAACAUCGGACCGAUCUUCUCGUUGUGUAGUUUAGCCAAAUCGUUGAGUGGCUCGUAACAUUCGUUGCCGGUUUUGUAUUCUUGUCUGGAGAUCGGUAGACAACCCAAUGGUGCUAGUAAUGGAACCACGAAUUUACUCGCUCCCAGGGAGUAUAACAACUGUAAAAAUAAACAUAAAUAUAUUUUAUAUAUAUAUGUAAGCCAAAACAUACAUAAAUAGUAAGUCAAAUGAACAUAUUAGUUAAUGUACAAAUACGCAUAAUAUACUGUUUGUUGACAACUUACGCCAAUGUCGUUCUUCAAUCGGUUAGUGACAGAAGUGACAAAAGCUUGCUGAGCAGAAGUGUCUGCUUUUGGAUUGGUCUUGGUGAAGUUUAAAUAAUCUUCAGUACCAAUAUAUAUCAUAAACACUGAUUUCUCGAUGUAGUCGUCUGUCCAUUUUGAUAUCAUACUUUUAAAUUUGUUCACUUGUUGAUUCAGUGUCAUCUGUAUAUACAUCAAAAAAAAAAAAUUGGUAAACAUGUUAAGAUUACAUAGACAAGUAAUUUAAAAAAUAAAUCAAUUAAACUUUUCUUAUUAAUAACUAUUAUUAAAAGAAAACAUUUAUUUUCGAUUUUUUUUAAAGCUGUAUAUUUCUGAAUGAUUCUUUCUUAUUCUUUCCCCAAAAGGGACAUCGUUUAAGCUGUAUAUGUACUUCAGGUAUUAUUAUACCUAAAAAGUCUCUCUUUUGUAGAAAAUCCAAUGUUUUCUUUUUUUUUUUAGCGAAAGCAGACUUACAGAUUCCACCGGAGCCCCAAGAAUAGAAGCAUCGGCGACGGCAAAACUAGCUCCACGUGAAAGAUCAACGUCCGGUUUAAGAGCCGGUGGGAUUCCGUUCGGAAUGGACAUGAAGUCACCUAUACAAUAACCAUGAGAUCGAUUAGUUAUUAUCUUGUGUCUUAAUAAGCUACACUAUAUAUCGUUAAUUAGAUUAUUAAUAAAGAGCGCACCAAUAAAAUCGGGGACGAUCCGGCCAUCGGAAAAUUUGCCGUCCGGGUAGUCGAUGGAUUUGCCGUAAGGCCACAAGUUUUGUGGAAGAUUUCUAUUUUUUUUAAGUAGAAACACUUUGUUUCCGGCGUCGUAGUAGGAGUCACCAAAAGCGAACAACGCUACAUUCGGAACACCUUCGCCGGCGUAGACAAUGAUCGGAUCAUGGAAGAUGGUCAAUACCAAUAAUGCUCCCAAAACACUCACUAAAUUACACUUGCCUGCCAUUUCUCAAAGGUAUUAUGCGAGAGAGAGAGAGGAGAGGAGAGGAUUAAUGGACGGGUGGUGAACUUUCACGCUCUCCACUGGUCUUAUUUAUACUGCCAAUAUAAUAUAGUACUCGUUUUUCUUUCACUAAUAUAAUAUUUUUUUAAUAAUAUAUUAUUCAAAAGUAAUGUAAUCUGUAAAGAGAAAUCUUAUCUAUAUCGCAUCCCCUUACAAUUUCAGGCUCAAGACUCACGUAGCAUGAGGCCAUAUCCAUAACCGUUUCUAGAGAUACGAAGUCUCGAACUUUAAAAAAUGACACUCAUCAUAUUAAAUUCAUAUAAAAUCAAAAUUUAAAACAUAAUCCAAAAAAAAAUAAGAUAACAAAAUUUAAAACAUAACAUUUCUUCUCUUCUUUGUAACAAAUUCAUUAACCACGUUUUCAACACUUUUAACUAACUCUCUUUUGAUAGACAUAUAAUUUGAUAGACAUAUAAUGAAAAAUAUAUAUAAAUCUAUAAAGAGUUAGUUAUGCUAACAUUUUACUGAGAUUUUUUAGAAAAAAAGUUAAAACACAUCGCGUCAAUAAAUUAUCAUCAUUAAUCAUUACUUUAUUUUUUUAUUAAUUAAAUAUUAGAUUUAAUAUUUAACUAAAAUCUGUUGUUGCCUUUGGAUCUUCAAGUUUUUUUAUAAAAUUUGAGCUCGUAAGCCAAUGCUUCUUUUUCACUCACAUAGGCACGAACCUGACCAUAUAUCAACACUUUAGUACGAGAAGAUAUGAGGCCAUAUCAAAAAAAUAUUGUUUGCCCGAAAAUUGUUACUUUAUGAGAUUUUUAUCGACACUUUAGUACGACAAUCUAUGCGACCAUAUCAAGAAAAUUGUAACAUUUCAGAAAAUUAUUUUGUUCUAACGUAUAGAUUGGUCGUUAAAUUGCUUUCUUUCUUUUUUUUACGUACAUUAGUUAAAUUGCUUAAAAAGGCAUCUUAAAGCAAAAUUUUGGGUAAACUUAAUAAUAACGUAUUUACCUUAGAUACAAUUCUGUUUUAAGAGGUUGAGAUUGAAAAAAAAAGGAUUUCAGAUAUAAUAUAUAUAUAUAUAUAUAUAUAUAUAUAUAUAUAUAUUGGAAUUAGGUUUUCAUUUAAUAACGAGUUGUUGGAAAUAUUAAUAUCAGCAAAAGUUAUUCGGCUUAAAAAUAACCGUCUUAAAACUUUUGCCUCUCGUUAUUCAAGUUAGUACCAUAUCUAAUAUCCCUAAGUUAUUCGGCUCUAAACUGUUCUUCUUCGAUCCAUCUGCGAUUCUGCGCCCAGCAUGUUCUUCAUUGGGAAUCUCUGUCUUGUCGUCCAUCGUAAUUUGUCUCAUUCAAUUCUCCAUCAACAUGUUUUAUCUGGAAACGUUUUACCCCCGAUUUAAAUGGUCUCACCUAACAAUUGAUGAUAUUUGAUUAUUGUCACUUAGUAUUUAUUAACUCCCUGAAAUUUUUUGUCUUUCGCAAUACGGCGCUCAACUUUAGAAAUUAUCAGCUUCUUAUUUUAAUCUUUCGCAAUACGUCACUCAUCAACUUUAGAAAUUAUCAGCUUCUAUGUACUGAUCUGAUCUCAACGUAUUAGCAAACUCGAAAUGGAAUAUGAAAACUGCCAAUCGCAUAUAUUUGUAUAUCAACAAAACGAUUCAUAUAUACGCGCGACUUGUAUAUAGAUAUCCACAACAUAUUUUUUAAAAAGUGGGAAAUCUUUCAGGAACAGAUGAAAAACUCUAGUUUUUGUUAGCGUCCACUGUAGUAUACGUGGAAAAUGGAGACAAACUCUCUUGUCAGUUGUCACAGACCAUCCUCAACAACAGAGGUAUUCACGAACGCUAAAGAUAAUUGCAAAUGUGGCUAUUACCUUGAUUGAUUUAUCUGCAAAAUAGUGAUACUAAUUUUUGUUGAAAAUCAAAAGUAGAAUCAACAGUUGCAAUAUACAUAUAAUAUAUAUAUAUAUAUGUGUGUGUACUUAAUUUAUUUAUAUACAUGCAUAUAUACUCAUAAAUUUAUUUUAAAACAGUUUAUAUGUAUACUGUAGUCAAGAAUUAUUAUGUAUAUAAAAUAAAAUAUCUACACACCUAUACUAUGUAGCGCGUGAUGAACAAGCUAUAGAAAGACCUUUUUAUUAAUCUUCGUAGAUAUUACAAGAACACAUUCAACAGCAAUUAUUAAUAUAUAUAUUUUUUUCACUCAACAGCAAUUUAUUCGACGGCAUAAACCGAAUUACCAUGCACGACACCGAUACAUAGUGCAUUAGCAGAUACGUAGUAGUAGGCUCAUCAUACAUAUAACGAAAGAUUCAUCAGCUCAUCAAAUUCAUCCAACUAGUAGUAAGCUGAUAAAUCGAGGCCAUCGAGGUAAGAUGCACGAAAUGGACGACGACGGCGACGAGUAGAUAACUUGUUGGGUUCCCAAAACUCACGCAUAUUCUCCUUAGCCGGAAAGACGAUUAGCUCACGUACGGUCAUUGGCUGGAUCACGGUAGGAUUGGCUCCAUAGAGAAGAUUUGCAAGUUCCUCUUGCGCCUUCUCCGAGUUGUGACGUCCGUCGAAGAAGAAGUAAGAUCUUUGGUACUCACAUAGCUUCGAGUGCACGUUAACCAUUCCACAACCAUACGCAAAGUGAGUCCCUACCCCGCAACACGAUGAGUUCGUCACGUAAAACCCUACAGAUCAACGUGAAUAAAUUGAAGUUUAAUUAUAUGAUCUUCACGUACGGUUUACGUAUCGUUUGUUAUCUUAACUAGUGAUAAUAAUUUUUGUGUGUUUGUAAUAUGGUACUUAGUAAAAUAAUUGAUGAUAUAUAAUCAACGUAUCUUAGCAGAAAACUUUCCAUAAAAAUCAUUGUAUUUUUUGUGUUUGUAAUAUUGUACUAAGUAAAAAAAUUGAUAGUGAUAAUAAUCAUAUGCGGCCCUGAAUUUCUGAAACAAUAAGCAACACUUAAUUAGUUAGUGAAGAUUGAUUAUGAUGAUGAAGACAGCUUACGGUAGUUAAUACUCCUGCCUGACGCAAUCCUACGCAUAACGGCGUUGUAGUAAUCGAAGACGGUGAAGAGAAAACCGCUUUUGGGGAUUUUAGCAAACUCGUUCAACAUCGGACCGAUCUCCUUGUUGUGUAGUUUUGCCAAAUCGUUGAGUGGCUCGUAACAUUCGUUGCCGGUUUUGUAUUCUUGUCUGGCGAUCGGUAAGCAACCCAAAGGUGCUAGCAAUGGAACCACGAAUCUACUCGCUCCCAGGGAGUAUAAUAACUAUAAAAUAAAUGAAUAGUAUAUGUAAGCCAAAAACAUACAUAAAUAGUAAGUCAAAUUAAAUGAACAUAAUUAAUGUACAAAAACGCAUAAUAUACGGUUUGUUGACAACUUACGCUGAUGUCGUUCUUUAAUCGCUUAGUGACAGAAGUGACAAAAGCUUGCUGAGCAGAAGCGUCUGCUUUUGGAUAGGUCUUGGUGAAGUUUAGAUAAUCUUCAGUACCGAUGUAUAUCAUAAACACUGAUUUCUCGAUGUAGUCGUCGGUCCAUUUUGAUAUCAUACUUUUAAAUUUGUUCACUUGUUGAUUCAGUGUCAUCUGUAUAUACAUAUAGGAAAUUAAAAAACGACUUGAACUCUUCUUUUUGUAACUCUUAACGAAAGGAAACCUUAAUGUUAAAAAUCUUUAAAGCUAAUAUACUUCAUGUGUUAUUAAAAAGAUAAACAUAAAUAGUCUAUCUCUUUCUUUUAAUAGUAAAGGCAGACUUACAGAUUCCACCGGAGCUCCAAGAAUAGAAGCAUCGGCGACAGCAAAACUAGCUCCACGUGAAAAAUCAACAUCCGGUUUAAGAGCCGGUGGGAUUCCGUUCGGAAUGGACAUGAACUCACCUAUACAAAAGCCAUGAUUUAUUAUUAUCUAGUUUCUUAAUAUAAACUACGCUCCUUGUAUUUAUAUAUAUAUAUAUAUAUCUUUAGAAUAUUAAUAAAAGAGCGUACCGAUAAAAUCGGGGACGAUGCGGCCAUCGGAAAAUUUGCCGUUGGGGUAGUCGGUGGAUUUGCCGUAAGGCCACAAGUUUUGUGGAAGAUUUCUUUUUUUGUUUAGUAGAAACACUUUGUUUCCGGCGUCGUAGUAGGAGUCACCAAAAGUGAACAACGCUACAUUCGGAACACCUUCACCGGCGUAGACGACGGUCGGAUCAUGGAAGAUGCUCAAUACCAAUAGUGCCCCCACAACACUCAUCAAAUUACACUUGCUUGCCAUCUCUCAAGUAUGAGUUAUGCCAGCGAGAGAGAGGAGAGGAUUGGAUGAAACUUUCAGACUCUCCACUCGUCAUAUUUAUAGUGCCAAAAUGAUCAUAAUAUUCACCGUUAUGUAAACUUUCUUUUUACUGGCCACAUAAAAAGAUUAAAAACAUAAUAGUGGGGCAAUCAACAAAUUAAUUAAAAAAAAAAAUCUUAUUGAUAUCUUAUCUUACGAUAUGAGGGAGGCUCAAGACUCACGUGGCAUAUUAUCUUAAUGUUUGGAUGCGAAAACAUGUGUGCACGAAAUUUAAUUAUUGUACGAGAUUCUUAUCGUCAUUCUAGUAGCACAAGAUACGAGGACAUAUAUAUUACGAAAAUAGUAACAUAUCACGAAAAUAGUAACAUUUCAGACAAAUAAGGGGACUCCUCUCCAUUGAAUAUCAUCAAAGCGAGAGCGUAAUGUACCGAUCUUCACAACAACCUCCUCUCCUUUGAAUAUCAUCAAGGCUUUGGUGGAUCGGAGUAUGCAAAACAGACUUAUAUCCUUCCCUCCAAAAGAUCGUAAUUCUUUUUUUCUCCUUGAAUUUUAAUUUGGUUGUAUUUCUCAUCUGAUUUAAUAUUGAUUUUGCUUGGUUCCAAUUUUGGGUAAGCUGUAAGGGUGCUUUUCCGUUUUAGUAUGUAACUGUAACCGUUUCUUUCUAGUAUCAAAUCUUAACAUUAAACCCAAAAAAUAAUAGGACGCCAAAUUUUUGUUCUUUUUUUUUUUUUUUGAGAGCUUCUUAUUCAUCUUCUUAACCAAAAGGAUUCUAACGUGUAGAUUUGAUCAUUAGAUUACUUUAAAAGCCAUCUUAAAGCAAUUUUUGGGGGUAAGCGUUUUUCCUUUAGAAUAGCUUAUUUUUCUUUCAUAGUUAGUUACAUCUCCAGUAUACAGAGGAUUUGAAAUUCGCACAAAACUUACAAAAAAAAAAAUAAAGAGGGAUUUAUACACACACGUAUAUAUAUAUAUAUAUAUAUAUUAUUUUUUAGUUGAAUUCUCGAAAUUAGCUUUUAUAAAUAUAUAACGAGUUGAUUAAAAAAAAAAAAUCAGCAAGAGUUGUGCGGUUAAAAUUAAGCGUCGGCUUCAGCAUGAAACAUGUUUUUCUCGUUGGAUUAGGUAGUCAUGUUAGUACCAUAUCUCAUAUCCCUAGGGACCUUCCUUCAAACACCAUAUAGUGUGAUGGAUACCCAAAACAAGACAAAAGAAAAUUUAAAAUUGAGUAAUGACAUAUCACCCACUAAAAACCAAAAACCAAAACCAUACACCGAUUGGCUUAAAUCCCGUUAGAACACCUCCAUUAGAGAUUUUUAAUCCAUUUGUGGCUCAGUUUCGUAAAUAAAAAAAUUAAAAAAAAUUGUAAAAACUUAUUUUCUUAAGGAGAACUCUUUAGAUAAGGAGCUGAAGAGACCAUCUUUUAACACAUGUGGCAAGCGCUUACUGGACGUUUAAUAACUUUUUUUUUUAAUUUUGUGUAAUUAAUUUUAGCUUUUUAUCUCUAAAAAAACAUUAAACUAUUCAUAUGAAACCCAACAUAAAUAACAUUAAUGGAGAUGCUCUUAUCCCUUUAAACUUCAUUUAGAUGUGAAAUUUUAAUACGUCCCUCAUGAUGAUGACUCAACUCGAUGACUCAACUCGAACCGAAUCUCACUUUAAAAUUAAUAAUAAACUUUUUAUGGAUCAACAAACAAAUCUCUAAUAUCAUUCUGAUAUCAUAUUAAAUUUUAUAGGUUUCCAACUCAAAACUAGUUAAUAAUAAAUAAAUUAACCUGAAUUUUUUAUAUACAAUAGUCUUUUAAACUUUGAAACUUUGGAUCGUGAAAUUCUAACAUAUAUUUUUGCUAUAACUUAUAGUAAAGAUGACAAGUUGUAACAUUCCAAACACAAUUUUAAUUCAAGAUCACGAUGCAUGGCAAAAACAAAGAGUUUUUUUUGGUUUUUCCCAACAAUCCAAACGGUUUUGAUGAGUAAGAAUUCUAAAGUUCACUGGUGAAAGAUUUUUCAUUAACCUUCUUUGAUCUUUCAUCGAAACAAACUUUUUCUGUCUUUCCGAUGACACGUUUUGUUUUUGUGAACAUCAGAUUUUGCAUUUUCAAAGCAACAAUUCGAAAUUUGUUUAUAUAAAUGAUCACCUACUUUAUUAUAUAAACCGCGCCACCAUAAUACGCCAUUUAAACUCUGAACACCAACAAAUAUUUUUACUAUCUUAACUAUCUAAUCAAUUCUGGCCCUGGAGACAAUCAAUAUAAGCAGCUACCCACAACGACAAAAACAACUACUUCAAUAAUCUGGGGCCAUGUUGCUUUAAAUUUUAUUUGGACCAUAUAAAUAAUUCGGGGCCCUUGUAUACUAAAUUUUUAAAUAUGACUUGUUUCUUAACAUCAUGAAAGUUAUAGCGCCACCUACCGUAUUGAGCUACCUAAGGAUGACGGGGUCAGUUGACCCCAUAACUUUUAUAAACUUUGUUUGCAGGCCUAAUUUAUAAUGUUUAAUGGUUGAUUUGUUUAAAACAUGUAAACUGACCCCAUUGUACGAGGUUUAAUUCUUUACCCUUGCACCCGUUUUGAUCAUUUUUUCAACAUAAUCGGUUCUUUUUUUGGUGAGUUUGUGCAUUUGAUAUGCUUAUGCACAAUUUCUAAACGAGUAUUAAACUAAUAAUGUUUAUACAAUUGGUUUUGAUUUUUGUUUUUUUAAUUAAUUGUUUGGUUAUACCUUUUACCAACCCAAAAAAAAACUCGAUUAUCAAUGAACACAACAAUUAACUAUGUUUUUUUGUUUGAACAUUAUAAUUAACUAAUGUUGAUCACUAAACUAUCCAUUUAUAUAUAUUAUUUAUAAUAAGUAAGCAUCUUAUUUCUUGUAGUCCAUUUUGGAAGGAAGGAGAAUGGACAAUUAAUUACUCGAGAAACAAGUAAUUAAUGGUGAGAAGACUGAGAAGGUUUUUCGAUCCACUACGUAGUAAGCAACUCCGAGGAGUUCUCCAUGUCGAUGAUUAGUAUUAUUAAUUGCUUUCAGUUUUAAAUUAUACUUAUAAGAUUUGAAUUUUUUUUUUGAAACCCUUUCAUUUAUUUUGGAAAAUAUCUCUAAAGUUUAUGAGUAUUUAUCAAUUUGAAAAUUUAAAGAAAUUGUAAUUUCGAAUAACUAAAUGAGACUUUUAAUUUAAACUUUAAUUAUAUGAGUUGUAUUUAUACAUGUUUUCUGUUUUAGAGUUUAAAAUAUUUGAUUUUUUUAUCCGCAUCUCACGGAGACCUAAUCUAGUAACUUAUAAAAACAUUACUUCGGUACCUAAAACUGUGUAUAUGUGUAAUAAUUUACCAUUUAUUUAAUGAUAUAACCCUUGAUAAAAUGGUUAAUUUGAUUUGACAAAAAAAAAAAAAGAGGAAAAAGAGAGUGAGUUGCUGUUAGGGAAAAAAAUUGAUGUGGGAUGUGCGAUAUUUCUUCUUUGUCUCGUCCCAUUCCGUCUCGGCCAAGUCAGAUCCGAUCCGCAAAACUCAAAUAUUUUUUAUUUUGUCCAAUCCGAUUUUCUAAGUUUAUACAGUUUAGAGUGAAUUACAUCUUUCAAAUCUACAUAGUGGAGUUAAGACUUAAGACUCAUUAUUGCAUUAACGCAUUUCGACCAACAAAGGAAUUACAUAAACGCAUUAGAAAUAAACCAUCACUAUUAAGAUUAUAUAUAAGAAGUAGAAUUGAAAAUUAAUCAAAAUUUAAUACGUAUAAAUGUAAAAUUUGAUGUCACUGAAGUUAUCUGGAGACGAUUCGUACAUUUAUUUUAAAUCAUGAGCAUAUAUUAAUGUAGAUUUAGAUACUGUUGAAGUUAUUAUGAUGUUUAGAACAUCGCAUGGUCAUUCGAACUAACUCACCAUAAUGUUGUUUCAGAGAUUUUAACUAAGCAAUCGACUCUAAGUAUAAAUCUAAUUUAUAUUCAUGUGAUUUUUAUAUGCUUUGAAAUCAUAUAAUUAGAAAACCAAAAUGCAAGGAAAAAUAAAUAAUAUACUUGACCUUUCGGUGGCUCUGAUGCUUACUUGAACCCUGCCAAGAAUGACCCAACUCCAUCUGAUUAUCAAAAACAAGCUUUUGAUGAUCAAGUCAUCACUACUUUUAUAGAGGCUGCAAAUAAAGGGAAAAUGCUUAGCAGUUACAUGAUAAUAUUUGCGAGAAUAUGAACAAUAUUUUGUUCUGCUUUCGAUUUCAUAGUUCAUCUCUGGUAAAGCUAGAGCUCUUUUGUGAUAUACAUACGAUGCCAAGACUGUGUUCCUACUGUUAAUGCCAAUGUGAUGGGAACGUGACAUGGAUAAUAAAACUUCUUGUUGAUGUUUUUCGUCAAUAAACACCAAAAGCCUCGUUGUGGAUUUACAGUUGAUUUAGUUGAACUCCAAAUAGAAUGCUUCAUGAAAAUACAAGAGACAUUAGCAUAAUAUGGGCCUUUGUAAAUGGGCUUACCGGCCCGCAUUAUAUGAAAAUAGUUUGUUUUAACUUGUGAAAUGAUGGAAUGAUAUCACCAUCUCACAUAUUUGUAUCAAUGUAUCAUCUUAUGUAAUCUUGACGUUUAUUCAUUUUAUCAUUCUAUUAAAUCAGUAGAAAAAAAAAUAUCAAAAUGUGGUCAUUCCAUAUAUUUUUUUAAUGAUUUCUUCUAGUUUCUUUUUUUUUUUUCUCCCAUUUUAUUUAUUUAAGUUUAACAAAUCUAGAUUUAGUAAAUAUUAAAUGGCACACCUUUUUUUGUUUUCUUGCAAGAAUUGUCACACCAUUAGUGUCAGAAGGUAUUUUCAAAAUUGUUUUCCAAUUGAAUUAAUUAUAAAUUCUUAAAAUCAAAUAAAUAAUAAAUUUUUUGAGAGAAAAACACUAAACUUAUAAAUCGUAUGAUCGAAUAGAACUUAAAAUAUAACCGUACAACAUAUUUUGAUUCUUAGAUUUUGCUGGAUGUAGUCCCAAAAUUUCAUAGUCAUCAACAUCGAAAAUAAUAUAUUAGUUUAGAUCAACUUUGAAUAUAUUUGCUAACAGCUACAUUCAUCAUGUUGCAUCUUUUUAAUUUUAGACAGAAAAUAUACUUUGAAUUGAUGCUGAACAAUUUUACAUUUUCAACUUUUUAUAGAGAUUUUUUUUUUCAAACAUGAAUUAAAAUUCUAAAAUGGUACUGUAUUAUUUAGCAUUCAGGCGUUUAGAACUUAGAAGGUCAUUGAUUGUUGGGAUAAAACAAUAAUUUUAUAAAAAGAUUAACAUCAAAAACAAUAAUUAAGAACUAUAAAAGAAAGGGGAAUAUAAAGUAGUGGUUGCCAAAAAGGGAAGACACUCGUUCCCUCAAUCAUUGGACAUGUCACUACUUUCCACAUUUUCGGCUCUAUUAAAUCCCCUCUAGUCUCACCCCCAUUUUCCAUUUUCUUUCUUUAAUCUACUUUGUAAUUCACUGUCAAUGUUAACCCGUAGUUUUUUGGUUUGUUUACCUAGAAAAAAUGACAUUUAUCUCAUCUAUCCUUACUUUUAGGAUUUAUACUUUUAAGUUUUGAACCAGCUCGAAGUACAUGAUUCUUAGUUCGUCUUAAAGUCUUUAGGCGCAUAUAUACAGAUAGCCCGAUAGAAUAGCAUUGGAGGAUGUUCAAGUCUCAAUCAUUUGCCGUAAUAAAUAAAGAUUUAACUUAUUAAAUAGCUUCAGUCUGAAAAUGCUUUUGAUAAUCACAAAUUCUCAAUCCAACACACAAAUGAUGAAUUAAACCUUAUGUUUAUUCCGUUUUGGCCUUAUGAUUUAUUUAUUAAAAAAAAGAAUAAACAACAGACGGAGAAUAAAAUUUAGGACAAAACUCUUUUCAACGCCAUAAUAAAUUGAUUGUUUUAAGGUUGUCAUACGAAUCUGUAAUUUUUUCAGGUUUAUGUCUAAAAGGAGAAAUAAUAGAAAAAGAGAAACCAAUAAUUGCUUAAAAAAAGGCCCCGCGGUAGUCACGUAGCUGAAAUGUUAAAAGUGCGUGAGUUGCAAUUUAAAUAGUAAUAUUAGCGAAUAAAUAAUAAUUACGUAAAAAUUUGCUGCCACGGUGGUCCAGACAUAAUCCACGUGAUGCUCGUUGUGAUAUGAGGAAAGGCCCACCCUGUGCCACGUCAUUAUGCCAGCUGUCUCCAGUUCUUCAUUUCAGGGUCUUUCCCAUGUUGUUGUUGUACAUCCCACUCCCCCGAACUCCGUCGUUUUAAGCCGUCGGAUAUACAAAUCCAACGGUUCGGGAGUUUCAUUAAUGUUCUUCCUUUCUUUUUAUAUGUCGAUGCGUGAAAAGUCCAAAAAGGAGUUUCUCGCCUUUUUUUUCUUAACUCGGAUUCUCUCGUCUUUGUCAACGCAAUUUUUAUUUUUUAUAAACAAAACAAAUGCAGUUUUAGUUAUUUGAUUUUCGAAAAACUAAUCAAUGUACAAGUACAAUACCUCUGUUAUGCAAGAAUCUUUCCACUUCUAUUAUUUGAAAGAGAUAAGCUCAUUGUAGCUAUUUAUUUUUAGUUUUAGAGUUUAAAGUACAUUAGAACGGUUCAUUUUAGAGUGACGUAAGUUUUUUUUUUUAAUAAUUACAAUGACAUAUGUAGAAACGUGUAUCAUUUGCAAUCUCAUUUCAACAAACAAAAAAAUAGCGUGUAUCAUUUGCAAACCCUUUGAUUUUAUAACGAAGAAUUGGCUAUGAUCAAAUUAAUAUAAAGUUGACGAGGGCAUAUAAGCAUAUUAGUAUAUUCUCCUUUUUGUUUAUGCUAAUAUUCCAUUCGCUAAUUGCUUUCUAAUGAUUCUAUUCUCCAAUAUACAGCUUAUAGAGAGGCCAAUGGUCCGUCCGACGACAAGUCGAAUCCAACUUACUUAUGAUACUUCUGAGUUAUGAUGUUCAUCUUGCCUACUUCUUUAUGAUCUGUAAAUUCCAUAUAUCACUGCAAUCAUAUAUAAAUUAUAUUUUCUACUAUCAUUCAUUAUUAUCACGUUCAUGACGCUUGACGACUAUAUUUUAUUUAGAUUAAACAAUAUAGUUGUACGUGUUUUCUCUUACUGUUUUUAGUUUACUUCUAUUACUAUGUCUUUAUUUUACUUUCUCCUACGUAGUAGAUAGAAAUGGCAUAAAAAAUAGUUUCAAAUUAAUUAGAAGAGCCAAUAAUGGGAUUUGUUUUGUUGAAUAGACUUAUACAAUUUAUAUUUUACCCACUUCUGAAACAAAAGUACUGCUUACUAUCUCACAGAGUAUUCCUUUUUCAAGUUUCGUCAGGUUUUGUUUUUGAAUAUGUCUUUAUAUUUUCUGACACCUACAUAAAAUCAUUUUCUUCACCAUAGGCAUAAAUUUAGUAGACUUGACUAACUUAAUCAUACCACAGAAUAUCUUAAAUCAAAGAGAAGGCCCAAAAAUACCCGUCAAUAUCAAUGUGAGUUUGUUGUACACCCGUACACGUUUGAUUAAUCUUCUUCACGCUGUAAGAAAAGUACGAAUGGGUCUUUAAUUAUUUGUCUUAAUAUUAUUUAGUGAAAUUAAGGUGAAAACGAGUUUGACAUGAUUUGUGAAAUAGAAAACUGACAUUCACGAAAAUGCUGAUCACGUUUCUCAUUGACUUCAUGAUACUUGCUUGCUAGCCGUUAACAUCAAACCCCAUUCGGAAAAAAAUCAGUGAGAUGUUUUCCAAAAAAAUAAAAAUAUAUAGUAUAUUUUGCAGAAAUAUUAAAAUUAAAGAAAAAAUUGGAUUAAUUAAAUGAAGUCAUUAGAAAAGAAUGUGGAACGGAAGAUGAAACGAUCAUAUUUUUGUUUGAAUGUUCUCGAUCAGAUUUUGUUUUAACGCUUCCAAUAAUAUGAAAUUAAUCAUUAUUUUGUGUUUCAUUAAUGUUAAGAUCUGUCGUUAUUGAUUUAUUCAAAUUUAAAUUUGUUUUUGUCGUUACCGAUUUGUUUAAUUUUUUUUUUAAACAAUCGAUCUAAUUAAUUUUUGAAUAAAAGUAAGAUAAAAAUUUUUUAUAAAAUGAUACUCUAAAUGCAACAUAGAAGAAAAUUUAUCAAUAUUUCAAACACAACCAUCAUUGAACGUAAUACGCUUAGAGAAGAAUUUAUAUAUUUCAGUUUUUUGCAUUUGUUAAUAUUUUUUUUUGUUUUUCCUCCUUUUCAAAUGAUAUAUAAAUCUACCUUUAAACUAUUUUUAGCUCUUUAUAUUAAUCUUUAAUUAUUUGGAAAUAGAUUCCUUUGUUAUUCAAGAAUUAUAUUUUUCAAACCAUUUUCUAUAUUUUCUUACAUUAUUUGUCUUACAAACAUUAUUUAUACUUAAAUUGAUUUGCGUUUCUGAUUCCCAUUUGUCAAAUUAUUAUUCGUUGCAAAAUAUUAAUAUGUUUUUUUUUGAAUUUAGGUUAUAUUGUUUAUUUGUAAAAAGUUAGUUUUGAUUUAUUUCUGUGUAAAUGAUUUAAGCUCAAAUGGAGUUAAUUUUGUCGGCCAGCUCAUAUGUAGUUGAUUUUUAGUAAGAACUACACAUAAUUUUAAAAUUGGCAACAAUUGGACAUUUUUAUUAAAUUUAAAAUGGUACAAGUUACAAGUAACCCUUUAGUUUCAGCCAAAAAUUUUGCAAGUCAAACUUACCUUUUCGAAAUCGAAUAUUACUAAAGAACCGUUUAUUUAUUUAUUUUGCAAACGACAAAAUUACAAUUACAGAUUUAGGAGAUAUAUAAACGAGCGCCUAAAGUUAAAAACUUUAACACCCAGAAAAAAAAAAAAACUAAAUUUCAUAUUUUUUUUAUAUUUUUGUCGUUAAAUUUUUCUGUGGUUCCGGUCACCGCAGCUCUGUCAUCAUCUCCUCUUUCUGUAUCUUCUUCAUCUACCAAUCUGAAGCCUUCUCAGAUUCUCUUUGAAUUUUCCCGGAAAAUCUCGAUCUGUCGACCGUAUUAGUAAAGGGUGAAUUUAGAAUCGUGUCGUCUAUGUUUGUGUUACAGUUGUAAUUGCAAAGAUUUGUUUUUUUUUGUUCUUUUUGAAUUUUGUGUAGUUUGUGUAUGUGAAGUCAGAUUCAGUUUUCUGUGAGCUGUACAGAUUUUUUGGGGGUUAAAUUGUUCUGUGAUCUAUUUGGGGUUUUGUUCAAUUUUCUGAGAUUUCGUUGUUUGUUAUUGUAUCGGAAGGCCCGACUUUAUCGAGCUCCGGGUUUGAAUAGCUUUUCAAAUGGCGGCGUCAGAGAGAUCGAUAGACCAAGAAGUCGACAUGAGCUCUUCCUUCCUCCAAAAAUUCAGGCUUUACGAGACCCGCUCGGUGAUAAUUCUCAUCUCUCUCUCUCUUUCCAACAUUUCAUUAGGAUUGAUUCUCUUUCUUUAUGUGUAUGUGUUUUGCUGCAUCGCAGAAAUUGAUCUCUUUUCUUUUUGACUUCGUUUGAAUAUGAAUCCGCAGAUUUGCUAAUUCUGAACCAUUUUGUUUUGUGUGCAACAGAGCUUCUAUAUGGUUGGAAGAGAUAAAAACCGAACCUUUUGGAGGGUCCUGAAGUUAGACAGGACAGAGCCAACAGAGCUCAACAUUUACGAAGAUUCGACUGCUUACACAGAAGCUGAAUGCUUCGAAACUUUGAGAAGGAUACACGAAGGAAACAGAUCAUCUGGUGGAUUGAAAUUUGUCACCACUUGCUAUGGGAUCAUUGGUAAUGUGUUAUAGCAUCUUAGGCUUUUAUACUUAGCUCUUUCUUCUUCUUUUUAAGCUUAGUAUUUCUUACUUCUCUGACUGUUUCUUGGUUCAGGAUUCAUAAGGUUCUUGGGGCCUUAUUACAUGCUGAUAAUCACUAAAAGAAGGAAGCUUGGUGAAAUCUGUGGGCACACAGUUUAUGGUGUAGCAAAGAGCAAGAUCAUUACGAUUCCACAUGCAUCUGUGCUAUCCAAUGUGGCUUUUACUAAGGAUGAGAAAAGGUCUUCUUAUGUCACUUCUGCUUGUAAAAUCGAAAAACUGUACCUUGCUACCUUUAUUACAUUUCGAAAUUAUAAAAGUUACUUCUUGUAUUUAGAUUUUUAUGACCUUUCUUCUGUCUUUUUGUUCCCUCUCUUUUUUGAGUCUUUGAUCUGCACGAUAAGAGUGUCACAGGUUUCUCUUAGACAAGUUAACAGUUAUUGAGGUAACUGUGUUUGCAUUUGUUACAGGUUCUUUAUACUUUGUCCGUUGCCUAUUGGAGAUAAUUCAACAGCUUAGAGUUUCAUUAAUACCCUUUCCACUUUGUUUAAUCUUUAGUCAGACAAUUUUUGUUGCACUUUUUUGCUUUUUACUAUUUCUAGGUAUUCUUCUCCAUUGUCUGUACAGUGGACACACUUAUGAUUGUUGUAUUUAUUUUGAUAUAUGUUAUAUGGCAGAGGUACUAUCAAGAAAGGGAGAUCUUAUUUUUUACGUUCUUCUAAUUUCGUUUAAUUUGAUAUAUUUUUAACUUUGAUUUAUCUUUUACCUGCCUUUCUGUUAUAGAUUAUUCACUGAUCCAAGUUCUAACUUAUAUAUCUUGUUUUGUUUCUUUUGUCUUCCCUGGAACUUUAAUAGGUACAAGAGAUUACUCUGUACUGUCGAUCUCACAAAGGACUUCUUCUUCAGCUAUUCCUAUCACAUCAUGCAUUCUCUUCAGAGGAAUCUGUCAAAUAAUGUGGAAAGACACACUUACUAUGAAUCAAUGUUUGUCUGGAACGAAUACUUAACUCGACGGAUUCGAAAUAACGCCAAGGACUGUAUGUGGACAGUUGCCUUGGUGUAUGGAUUUUUCAAGCAGGUAUUACUUGUCUUAAUUUGGUCAUAACGUUUCUAAAACCGUUUAUACCAUUCAGAGAUAUGCUAAUUAAAACGUCACGUUGUCCAUGUUGCUUGAUUUUGUACACUUCUGCCGCAUGAGAGGAGAAUCUAUUGCAAGAAUUAGGAUUAAACCCCACACUAUGUGGAUAACUUGUCAAAUCUUUUGUCUUUUGAUGCACAUUAAAACUUGUUUACCUUUGGAAUGACUUUUUCUUCUGUGUAAUAUGUAGGUUAAACUAGAAGUUUCUGAGAAGAACUUUAGAUUGACACUAAUUGCGCGCCGAUCUCGGCAUUAUGCUGGCACAAGGUACAGUCUCUCCACCUGAGCUUUGUUCUAUUCUGCCAUUUGUUUUGGUUAAGCUGAAUGAGAUUAAAUCUUAGUUGGGUCGUAAUCUACUUUCUUGUUCUCCAGAUAUCUGAAACGUGGUGUGAACGAGAAAGGCAGAGUAGCUAAUGAUGUCGAGACAGAGCAGAUUGUUUUCGAGGAUGCUCAAGAUGGUAAUCCUGUCCGAAUAAGCUCUGUAGUUCAGAACCGGGGUUCGAUUCCUUUGUUCUGGUCUCAGGAGACAUCACGCUUGAAUAUCAAACCUGACAUAAUAUGUAAUCACUUUGUCCUUCAACAUAACUCUAUAAUCUUGUCUAUUUCUUUUCUGCUUUGCUUGUUGCGCUGAUUUUCUCUUUAUCUAUGUAAAGUGUCGGCGAAAGACCCCAACUUCGAGGCAACCAGACUGCAUUUUGAGAAUCUCGCAAGGAGAUAUGGGAAUCCAAUCAUCAUAUUGAACUUGAUAAAGGUUGGUAUAUCCUAACUCAUCCAUGAUGAUACAUAUUUUUGAUAUAUUCUUUUAGGUAAUCUCUAAUUCACUUGAUUGAUAAAAAACAGACGCGUGAAAAGAGGCCAAGGGAGACUAUUCUACGUGCAGAGUUUGCAAAUGCAAUUAGAUUUAUAAACAAAGGGUUAAGCAAGGAGGAUCGUCUAAGGCCUCUUCACUGGGAUUUGCAUAAACACUCCAGAAAGUAUAUGAUGGACACAACCUUUAUAUGCUUCUUUGUUUCCCUCUCUAUUUGCAUUGCAUUUUCAGUAACACUAUAUUAGGUGUUCUGACUUACUGAAAAUGUUGUUUUUUUAUUUUUUUUCCCAUCCAGAAAAGGCACAAACGUGUUGGCAAUUCUCGGCAGGUUGGCUACUUAUGCACUGAACUUGACUGGCAUAUUCUACUGUCAGCUAAGUUUAGAUCCUAGAGCAGAUGGCUUUCAGAACAAGAAUCCAUCCACCUUGGAGUGAGUAUCCAAAUUAGCCAACACUUAGUUACUUUCUAUGUGGUUUCUUGCUUACCAUGUUAUUCAUCUCUCUUGCAUUCCUAGUAACUAGGGCUUGGAUUAAUUUAUAUCCUUUUGGGUUUUAUUGCAGGAACAAUAAUGGUGAAUGUUCUACUUAUGAUCUUCCCAGUAAAGAUGAGACUGCAUCAAAUGUGGCGGUGGAAAGUUGUAAUGAGAGUAAGGAUGCUAAAGAGGAUAAGCAAAAAGAAGCUACGAUGCUGCAGAAAGGAGUCUUGAGGACCAAUUGCAUAGACUGUUUAGAUCGCACCAAUGUUGCUCAAUAUGCCUAUGGGUUGGUAGCAUUUGGACGUCAACUCCAUGCUUUGGGAUUAAGAGAGGCUACUACUAUUGAUCUAGAUAAUCCACUGGCUGAAGAUUUGAUGGGAAUUUAUGAGACAAUGGGAGAUACGCUUGCGCUUCAGUAUGGAGGAUCUGCAGCACACAACAAGGUUUGUUUUCUUAGCUUCUCUGGCCAUAAUAUGUUGCCUUGUUAUUUGAAAACCUGUGGGAAUAAUGAUUAUCCAAAUAAUGUUAUUACUGUGGAAUGACAGAUAUUUUGUGAAAGGCGUGGUCAAUGGAAAGCGACGACUCAGUCACAAGAAUUAUUCAGAACUUUACAACGUUACUACAGUAACGCCUAUAUGGAUGCUGAGAAGCAAGAUGCGAUUAACUUGUAGGCUGCAUUAAGUUUCUCUCUUUGUAUUUCUCUGGUGUGACAAAAUUAUCUGACUUUACUUUUUCAUUUGUAUGCUUGUUCAGGUUCUUGGGAUACUUUCUGCCACAACCAGAUAAGCCAGCGCUAUGGGAAUUGGGUUCUGAUCAGCAUUACAAUGCAGCUAGGUUUCUUGCCAAUUCUGUACCGGAGAAUUCAAGGUACAUUUUCCUGGUUAAACGAGAAACUUGCAGACUAGUUUUGAAUGAUGUUAUAUGUUCAUUAGAGAUACUUACAUUACGUUGUUAUCGGCUUUAGGUCUACGAUGAAACGAUCUCUAUCAGAAAGUAGCAUCAUAAGCGAGAGCAGUACAGCCGGGUUGGGGGCAGUAGCUAGACAUGGUUUAGCUGAAAAGGAUGAAGAAGGUAAAGGUCUUUCAGAUUCAGCUCCUGAGAUCUCAACUUCUGAAACUGCUAAGAUUGCUGCUAGUCUAAGGUAAAAACAACAAAGAAGCUUGUGAUCUUAUGUCAUAUAAAUCAUCUUGAUUGUGUUGUUGUCAGCUAAAUCUGGGGAAUGUCUUUGUGUUUUUUUUUGCAGUGCUCCAUCACCGACAUUGGAGGAAAUAGGUUUAGAAGAGAUUCUUGAAAACGAUUGCUUCUGCUAUGGUGACCAAUGUACAUGUUCAGCUUUUGAUAUGGAUUGGGUUUCUUCUUCAGGAAACUCUUGUGAAGAUGAGAGUUACGGAAGGUAAAACCAAAAAAAAAAAGAAACUUUAUUUGAAUAUAUUUGUGGCUUACCAUUACCAACCAAAUAUGUUAUUCUGAGUCGGACAUAUAUUUCAUUUCAUGCAGAUCCACAGUGGUUAGAUCCUUCGAAACCAUUCCUGAAAGUACAAAAAUAGAGUCAGAGAUAUGUGUUAUUGAAUCAUGUUCCAGCGAUAAUAGAAAGGUGUGAAGAAGAUUAACACGAAGCUGCCAUUGAUACCUCUUAAUACCUUGUUAAUCACCAAACUCAUCUCUCUGUGUUUUUUUUUAUUAUUUACUUUUGACAGAGAGAUGAAGUUACGGUGGAGGAAGAAGUCAUUUCUGGGAUUCCUCUUCCUCAAGGUUAUGUGAGGUGGGUGAUGGAUGGAGACGGACAUUUCUGGUGAGAGAAGAGCUCUACAUUUUGAUUUUUUUCAAAAAAAAAAAAAGGAAAAAAAGAACAUACCUUCUUAGUGCGGAAGAAGAAAGAAAAAGUAUCAGAGCAGAACAUAACUGAAAAAGAAAAAAACUAACCGCCACUAAUUUAUUAAUCGGAUUGGAAGAAAAAAAAGGUGAAAAGGUUAGAGAAAGAGAGAGCCUGAGAAAGGGUAACAAACUUGUAAAUAAUUUACAGAAGACAUGAUGAUGAACAUAACUCAGAUCUUGUUGGAUUUUUUUUUUGUUUUGUUGUUCGACAAUUUUAUUAUAUUCCGGGCUCUGAAUUCGAAUAAAACAGAGGAAGUUCAGUUACUGUCAAUAAAAGUUUCAACGACUCCAAAAGGGUUAAAAUGAGUUAGAACUUAGAACCGAUUGGACUAUCUUAGAUACAUGUACACACACGCACUAAAUCAACACCUAAGCAUUACAACAAGUACAAACAGCUAAGCAUUACUAAGUACCAAGUAGAAUCUUACAAAGUAAUUACAUUACGAGGUAAUUACAAUGAUGUCAAUUUCGAGGGUUUCCGACAAAAAUGGAUGAACAAAAACCGAAUCCUAAUUACUGGCUUAAACUAUUACAUUAGUCAGAAGUGGGUCCCGCGGAUGUAACGCGUUUUAAAGCUAAAAGCACAUCUUCACGAAAAAAACUGACGGUGGACGGUGACGCAAGACCUCCGAGUUUAGACCAAUUUACGAUAAAACCACAUUCCUGAGAACCUUCUGGAGAGAGCCCCACUAAGAAAAUAUCAACAAAUCUGAAAUCUCAGCCGCACUCUUAUGAUUGAUUGUAGUAUGAGUUUCACCAUUAAAAAAAAAACAAAAUAUCAUAUUUAGCCAUCAGCAUUUUUCUACUAAAAACGAUUCCAACUUAUUGGAAAAAUAUAGAAUUAAUCAGAUCCAAUAUCUUAGGAAGUUUAUUACUAGCAUUUUCUUUCUUUUAAAAAAAAAAAUAUUACUAGCAUUUUUCGUUUACUAAUUGUCGUGAAUAUAAAUAAUUUCAACUUUGUGUUUACAAAAAAAAAAAAAAUAACAGUCCGAACUUUUUUGCCAUCGAAUUUGUUAUGUAAUGGACAAGUCAUCCACACUAAAAAUUGUUAUAAGGAACGUCAUUACCAAAUUAAUUGACAAAUAAGUUAUAAGUUGGGGGUAUUUGACCCAAAAAAAGUUAUAAAAGUGGUGGUAACAGAUUUUUUAAAAUUUUUUUUUAACAGAAUUCAUAUUCUUCUAUUAGUAUUUUCUUACUUCGAAAAAGUAUCGAAAGAUAUUAAUUUCGGACAAAUGUAAUUAGUAUUUGUUUGACCGGGAAAAAAAAAAGAAGAAGAAGAAGAUAAUUUAUUAGUUUAUUGAUAUUUAAAUAAAAAACAGGAAAGUGCAGGAAAAAAAUCUAGACAUGUGGAAAGAGGUUCUGGAGAGUUCCAUUCUCACAAACGUAUGUAGGAGAGAUAGAGAGGAGAAAUAAAAAAAACCUGUUUUUCCCCUCUUCUCUCCGAAUUUUUCUUCUUUGAUCGUCCACGAUACCAAUCAAACCCUAAUAUCUCCGUAUUUGUUCGUAUUUAACAACCUAGUUUCGAACCAAUCGAACCACUUUAGUACCGAUACUCGACACAAGCUCUUAUAGAUAUUGGUCUGUUGCUCUGUUUCUGGGAGUUCAAAAUUCGUCGAAUUUACGAGAAAGAAUAGAUUUUUGUUUUGUUUUAACGGGUUUGGCUUCCUGGGUUUGUAAUCUGGAGGAGAAAAGCUAGGUAUGGCGUCGAACAAUAGCGAGAAAAGCAACGAUGAUUUGUAUGCUGUUCUGGGUUUGAAGAAGGAAUGUACGACGACGGAGCUCCGUACUGCUUAUAAGAAGCUUGCUCUAGUGAGUUCUCUUAAUUUUGAUAUCGUAUUUUGUUUAUGGAUGUACAUGACAAUGAAUGUUUUCUGUUUCCUGAUUUGGAGUAUUGCAUGUAAUAGCAAUUUAGUUUUUGGGUUCGAUUCUCAUUAAUCUGUAGUCCAAUCGAUUCUGUGAUUCUUAUUCCUGGUAAAUUUUCGAUUGCGGAUCGAGGGAUCAUGCCUUAGCUGAUAGGGUUUGAUUGAGAUUAUAAGCACUUGUAGAAUCAUUCCUUUUGUCACUGAAAUUUUGAUUUGGGGAACUUUGAUUUUACGUUGGAAAUUAGAGAUGGCAUCCAGAUCGUUGUUCGUCAAUGGGGAAUUCGGAGUUUGUAGAAGAAGCAAAGAGGAAAUUUCAGGCCAUCCAAGAAGCCUACUCUGGUAAUUUCACCAACUUUGCUUCAUCUUUCUCUCAAAGCUCUCGGUCAAUUUUUGAUAUUUUAUGGAACAUAUUGGAGUUGACUAUUGGAUACAGAAGAUCCUCUAUUAUUUCAUUGUUCCUUGAUGUGUGUUUUUUUAGUAUUGGUUAUGUUCCUCUGAUUAAGCUUUUUUUGUUUUCUUUUGGUGCGCACACAGUUCUGUCCGAUUCCAACAAGAGGUUCCUCUAUGAUGUUGGAGCUUAUCACGAUGAUGAUGACCAAAACGUAAAAAGUCCCUUUUUAUUUUUACUUUUUUUGCUUAAAGAUUUUCACUUUCUACCUUUUUCUUCUCCCAUCAUAUGCUUUAAAUCCAGCCAGGGUUACUGAGAACAUUUAUUUCAAAGGGGACAAUGCUCUCGAAAGCAGAGCAUGCCUUGUUUUGUGUUGAAAAUGGAUCGAGUGAUAUGACUUCUUUGUCCUAAAUUCGCUUUAUUCUCUUCCCUCUAUUGUUAUUGAACAUAUGAAUCAUGUUAAUGAUGGAUACUGUUGUUGUGUAGGGAAUGGGAGAUUUCCUGAACGAAAUGGCGUCCAUGAUGAAUCAAUCCAAGCCUAGUGUAAGCAGUCUGCAUUAGUUUCCCAUUAGUUUAUUAGACACCAUUGAUUUCGGCCGAGUUGAUAUUUUCGAGAUGUUGGUUUGCAGGAGAAUAAUUCAGGGGACAGUUUUGAACAGCUACAAGAUCUGUUUAAUGAGAUGUUUCAAGGAGACGUGACAGCAUUCCCAUCAUCAUCAUCAUCAUCUUGUAGUUUUGUAUUCGACAAAAACGAUCAGCGAUCAAGGUCAUCAUUCGAAACAAGUUCAAUGGGUAUUAACAUGAAUAAUCCGUUCGGAUUCGACCCCAGAGCUCAUUCCUUCUCUUUAGGGGUAAAGAAUCAUAAAACCUGGCCACAUUUGAUUUCACUAUCUCUUAAUGAUCCCCGAGAAUGGCGUUGGUUCUUGAGCGUUCCUUUAAUAAUGAAAUGGUUUUUGCUGGUCAAGCAGGUGGAGCAUCAGCAGGAUUUCAAGAAAGGGAAGAACAAUGGCGGGAGAAGAAACAGGAGGAAAAAUGAUGCUCAAUCGGCUGCUCACGAAACGUCGUCGUCCAACAACUAUGGAGUUCCUACUUCAUAGGCAAUUUACCUAAUUUUAUUUCAACUUUGAUGGAUUCUUCUCCGAGUAACAAUGGAUGCUCUUUGUCCAUUUUAAUACUCCCCUCAAUGUUUAUUACUAUUUUUUUUUGUCCUUUGUCUCUACGUUUCUGCUUACCAUUAUUUAUUUCAAAAGUUGGUGGUAACUCUGAUAGCAUUGAAGGAAAUUAGUGGUAUAACAUUGUUAAGUUUCACAAGUGUAUAAAAUUCAUUCUUACUAAAAUUGAAUAGAUGGUAGGAAUUCUGAGACAAAUGCUGCAUUUGCUUCAUUAAGUGAUAUGUGUUUUCUCACAAAUCUAUGUUGAAGUGCACGAACAGAUAUGCGUUUUCUCACAAAUCUAUGUGCUGCACAUAUAUACUAAUAUAACAUUUCUUGUAUGUAGUUCUCUAUCUUAUGCAUGGCAAGAUAGCCUUCUCAUGAUCCUUUUCGGAACUUCACCAUUUCCAUAGAUGAUAUAUACAAAUGUUCAAGUAUAGUACAGAUUUGUUGCUAGAUAGGAUUCAAGUGCUUGUUGUGGAAUCUGUAUAUGUAAAAUUUGAUUCUCAACAUUUAAACUUAACAAAUGAUUUUAAACUUCAUUGUUUUUUGUUUGGUUGAAAAAAGAAUAUAAAUUAGGAAGAAGUUAUAUAUCAGUCCACAAAAAAAGUUAUGUUUCUUAUUUAUCUGAUCUAUUUGAAAUUCAACACAAAUCAUUUAGGUAGGUGCAAUGCAAGAAGCAUAUUACCGUUAUGGUAUUAUUACAAGAGUUUAAACAUGAAUAUUAAAAAGAUGCCUGAAGGAUGAAAUAUUUCAAAAAAGAAACAGGAAAAUCAGAAGAGGUCGUCAUCAUAGUCUUCCUUGAGUGUGAAUUCAGCUGAAUCGAACCGCCAAGGCAGAGGAGUGGAAGGCAUCAUCGUAGAGCCAUGUCUUCGUAUUGGGGAGCGCCAUGGAGUUGAGCUAUUCAGCCAACCAGUCAACUUGGGCGAUGGAAUCUCUUCUGCUUCGUCGUAAGUCAGAUUGUUCUUAGCAUCCAUCUGAAACCAAAAACACACUAGGCAGAGUCAUAAAAAAAAAGUGCCAUUGUAAGGUUCCAAAACUAGAACAAAUGGAUCCAUGGUGUAUGUAAGAUCAGUGACUUAAUAACAAUCUCUCAUAAAUCAAGAGUCAGAGAUACACAUUGAAUCGGAGUCAAGUACCAUUUCUAUGUCAAACUUGAGAUGCUUUUCCUUGAUGCUGGAAUCUGCAUAAAACACACAAAAAAAAUCAAGCUUAGCAAAAGUUGACAAGCAAAGAUUGGUUUUUACCAUCAGAGCUUAAGUAUAUUUACCAUGGUGAAGUAGAAGAAGAUCAGCAUGAUCAUCCCAGAGAUUUUGCUGCUCUUUGAUGCAUUUGCUGUGAUCAUGCAAGAACCUCUCCCCGGCUAUGUUGAUCUCGCUUUUUGCAGAAGCAGAAGAAGCGAUUUGCUUGUUCUUAGAAGAAGCUUUCGGAUGAAUCCCGGACUUGUUUGUAAUAUCAUUCAGAGCCUUACGAGCAGCUCCGGGUUUCUUCUGACCAAGUACAGGUCCUUUGGUUUUUACAGAAGCAGCAGUAACAGACUCUGUAGUAGCAAAAGAGAAAGAAAAAGUCUUGUUUCAAAACAUUCAUCAACAGUUUCAAACAUAUGAUCUAAAGAGAUAGAGAAAGAAUGACUACUUUUGCGAUGAAUCGGAGCGUUCUCGUCAGGGAAAAUCAUCUGUUGAAGAGCGUUCAUGUUCGCCAUAGGUUUCAACCUGUUUACACCAACAAAAGCUUGUCAAUGUUCAUAGACACAAAAUCGGGAACCAUCAAAAGAUCGAAGCAAUAUCAAACAUUUGCGGAUCUGAUUCCAGAAUCAUCAAAAUCAAGCAGUUAAAAGAAAACCCUAAAAUGGGUAGAUUUGAUUCCAGAAACCCAGGAACGAAAUCGAAAACCCAAUUUGAUUCUCUAGUUAAUUCAAGCAACAUAAUCCCGGAAACCCAGAAAACGAGACGGAUCAAAUAGCGACAAACGGGAAAGAAUAACAAAGAAUCGCCAGAUGAACAGUCUAAUCUGAACCUAAAUCACACGAAAGAAAGAUACCUUUCGUAAAAUGGAGUAGUUUCUUGGUGAUAUUCAAGUGGGAGAGAAGAGUCGAAGAGCGCUUUUCUGGAGAUUGUUUAACGGUAACUUUUCAAUGUUGUUCUUUCCUUUUCUUUCUAGUUUCUAGGAAUCAGUUUCUAGAGUCGACGAUUGAAGAAGAGACUCGACAUUAGGCGAAAAAAAUGAAUUUAAACCCCAAAAAGGUUACUAGCCGUUGCAUAAUGUUAAAAAUACGGCCCAAUCAAGAGUUGGCCUAGGCCCAGGCUCAUGAUGUGGAAAGUGGAAACAAACAAAAAAAAUUAUAUUGAAAAUAAGGGAAAUUAUUAUUGAUUAUCAAACUAGCUACGUACAGUAGUUAGAUUUUUGUUUUUGACAGCGUCAAACAAGUUGGAUGAAAAGUCAAACGUGUCACAUCCUAUAAACUCAUUGUCUAAGCGAUCUUCUUAUCGGCUAGAUUUAUCAUCUAUGUUUAAUAAUAUCAUCAUCCUUGAUUAAAUCUCCUUAAUUUUGGAAGGUUAAAUUAAGGUCAGUUCUAUAUAAUUAGUCUAUUCAAACGCUUCUCUUCCCUGAUCUUUAUAUAAAACCACUAUCCUCUCCAAUAAAGAAGAAAAAAAAAAACGUAAGAGACCCCAUUAACAACAAACAAAAACAAAACCCUUUUUAAAAAAAUUUGAUUUGAGAUAUGGGAUUCUUGCACAAGCUUUGGGAUGAGACGGUGGCUGGUCCCGCGCCAGAAAACUGUUUGGGGAAGUUGAAAAAUCACAUUCCCGACGACAGUGUCACAAGAAAUGGUCACCAAAAGUUGAUGGUGAAUCCAGGUCGUGUCUCGGAAUCUCCUGUCGGAUCAAUCAACCCCGGUUCUCCUUUGACUCGUGAGUUACUAUUUUUUCUUUUUUCCCUAAUUAAGCGCAGAAGACUUGAGGUGAUCUUUAUGUACAUAGUCAUGCAUAGUCAUAUAUAUAUAUAUAUGUGCAGCCUGAAGAUAUACUGACUUGUAAUCAUUUAUAUGCAGCUGGGACACCAAGUGAAACGCAUGCCGCAAGUCUCAAUGCAUGCGAUUGGUUUGAUCCCUCUCUGUCUUUUCAUUCUCAUAAUCUCUCUAUCUCUCUCUUUCUUCCAGUUAGUUUAUAUGUUUUAAAAAAUACCCUUAAUUAACAUCCAUAAUAUUGCAGGAUUGUGCUAAACGCAUUAGACCGUUGAGAGAUUAAAAGGAAAACAAAAAUGUACGCUAUGAAUGUUAAUAAGGGAAGAAGUAUCCUAUAAUCCAACUACUUUGUUUUGUAAAUUGUAAUAACAGUGUACAUAAUGUAUAAUGGAUUUAUGUAAAUAGUAAUCGCUUUUUGGAAUGUAUGUUGGUGUUCUUUUGGACACAUAUUUUUCUUCUAGUAUCUUUUAAAGAAGUGUCCGUUUAUUACUGUUGGACACAAAAAAACAAAUGCAUGAUGUGAUCAAAGUAACAUAUGCAAGAAGUAGUGUAAUUAUUUUGGCCUUGUAACCCGUUAAAAGUUAAAACAAUGUAUUGUGGGGAAAGAGAUGAGGGUAUAUGUGUUUUAUUUGCUGUCCACCAAAAAAGAAAAAAGAAAGGCAGAACUUUAUUCGACACAAAUCGAACUCAGAAUCAUAGCCCACAUUGCAUAGACCAGUAGACUAAACAACACUAAUAUAACUAAUCAGCAUAAAAAAUAUCUAUAUAUAAAAAACGAUAAAAACGCACAAAAAAAAUCCCGAUUAAUCCCCGAUUUUUUGGCUAAUUUUUCGGCAGUCUUUACCCUUAACCGGGCCGGCAACUUUACCGGUGACGGAAUGUUACUCUGUCCUACCAAUAACGUCCUUACACGUCGACUCCCCGUAUCGUCUCAGGUUCUUCCACGUGUCCCCCUACUCACCGACGCCGUCUCCUUCCCGUUACCCCCGAACAGAUAUUAAGCCGAACCCUAACCCUAUCUCUUUUCUACGACUUCUGAACCAGAUCCGGCGAAAUCACAUUCAUGGAGGACGAAGAGGAGAUCAGAUCGCACGCUUCGCCGACGGGUUCCGAUUCUCCCGAUCCGUCUUCUUCUCCGCCGGCGGGACGUAUCACGGUUACGGUGGCUUCGACAGGUCCGCCUUCUUAUUCCCUGACACCUCCGGCAUCUUCGUCGCUGAAGGAUCCCGACGCGUUGGCUCUGGCGCUGCUUCCAAUUCAGGCCAGCGGUGGUGUCGGAGGCAGUAGCAGCAACGGUAGACCAAGCGGCGGCGGCGGGAGGGAGGAUUGCUGGAGCGAGAGGGCUACGGCUGUGCUAAUUGAUGCCUGGGGGGAGAGAUACUUGGAGCUUAGCAGAGGUAAUCUGAAACAGAAACACUGGAAAGAGGUGGCGGAGAUCGUGAGCAGCAGGGAGGAUUACGGUAAAAUUGCAAAGACCGAUAUACAGUGCAAAAACAGGAUCGAUACGGUGAAGAAGAAGUAUAAGCAAGAGAAAGUUAGAAUCGCUAAUGGCGGUGGCCGCAGCAGGUGGGUGUUCUUCGACAAACUUGACCGUUUGAUUGGAUCAACGGCGAAGAUCCCGACUGCAGCCCCUGGCACCAGCGGUGGUGGAAGUCCUGGCGGAGGAGGAGGAGGAGGAAGUGGAUUGCAUAAGAUUCCGAUGGGUAUUCCCAUGGGCAGUCGUUCGCAUUUGUACCAUCAGCAAGCAAAGGCUGCAACGCCGCCUUUCAAUAAUCUUGACCGUCUAAUCGGAGCUACGGCUAGGGUUUCAGCUGCUUCGUUUGGCGGCAGUGGCGGAGGAGGAGGAGGAGGAGGAUCCGGCAAUGUACCUAUGGGAAUCCCGGUGAGCAGCCGUUCAAGUCCGUUUGGACAGCAAGGCAGGACGCUGCAACAACAGCAGCAAGGCAGGACGCUGCAACAACAACAGCAAGGGAUGAUGGUGAAAAGGUGCAGCGAGUCGAAACGGUGGCGUUUCAAGAAGAGAAAUGCCUCUGAAUCAGACUCGGAAUCCGAAGCAGCAAUGUCUGAUGAUUCCGGUGACAGUUUACCACCUCCACCUCUGUCCAAGAGGUUGAAGACGGAGGAGAAGAAGAAGCAAGAAGUUGAUGGAGGAGGGAACAAGUGGAGGGAGCUAACUCGUGCGAUCAUGAGAUUCGGCGAAGCUUACGAGCAAACAGAGAAUGCAAAGCUGCAACAGGUGGUCGAGAUGGAGAAAGAGAGGAUGAAGUUCUUGAAGGAGCUCGAGUUGCAGAGAAUGCAGUUUUUCGUGAAGACCCAAUUGGAGAUAUCCCAGCUUAAGCAGUGUGAGAGGAGAAUCGGUAACACUAGUAAUGAUCAUCACAGCUGCAAGAACAACAACAACAUCAAUUCAAUUGUCAACAACAGCAACAACGAUGUCGGUAACUAGAGUUUAGUAAUUCAGGUCGUAAUCUACAUAUUUUUAGAUUUGAGUUUGAAAUUGUUGAAAAAGAAACUUAUCUAGGCUUCAUGAGUGUAUUAAUAUUUUUACCAAAUCUUUGUUAACUUUGGUCACAUGGAACAGAUUUAACUUCACUGGAAAGUCCUGAGAUCAUCCUGCAUAACUUUCUCCGGACUCCUCUGACAUAUUUUAAUGAGGAAUCAUCUGUAGAUAAUUUGUCUUCUGCAGGUUAUUAAACUUUGAGUUAGAAUGUGUGUUCUGUGAGAUGACACUGGUUUAGAACUUGGCCUAGACAUUCUUGAUCGUUUAUACAAUCCAACCGCACCUUUAUUGUGUACGUUUGGUUAUUUUGAUAUUGAAGAUUUGCAUGUGUACCUAAAGACAUAUUAACUCCUUUUUAUAUUAAAAAUUGUUUUAGCUAGAUUUUCUUGCAUCUGAAGCAUCAUUAACGACCCAUGAUUUGUUGUAAAAGUAGAAUGUUAGGCAAAACAACUUUUUGUUUGUGUGUUUAGUUCUUUAUGAUGUUUUCCUUUUUGGCGUUUUUAGAUACAAGAAAACUUGGCAAUCACUUUAGAAUUAAUCUUUUGCACUAACCUAUAAUUACAUUCUAUUCAUGUUUUGUUGCUCGUGUACUUUAUUUUAUUAUUGCUUCUGAUCGAUUUCGUAGGGUAUCAGGUAUUUAUCGGAAAGUACAAUUUGAUACUUGACUAAAAUACCAUAAUUCAAACUUGCAUUAUUUUUAACUUCUUUUUGACGAAUACAAUAAUGAAAACUUCUUCGUUUUAAAUACAAUCCUAAAAUUUGAAUGCUUCUGAAAGUUGUCUUUUUUGUAGAGAAAAGUUCGAUUCAACAAGUAAUGAACCAAGGUGUCCACGUAUUUUCUGAGUGCUAUAGAUUAUUGGCUAACGAUAUUUUGGUAUCAUUGGGACUCCAGCAUGCGUAAUCGAUCUUUUUUUCUCAGUAAAAUUUGAAUGACUAUUUCUCAACAAAAUCAUGUACUCAUGUAGUGGUUACGGUGGAAAUAGUUAAAAUGCUAUGUUGCAAAUACUUAUUAUUUUAACUGGGCAAGAGAAUAUACGCAACAAAAACAUUUGGAAUUUAAGAAUGAAUCGGUAAGAUUUAAAGCAAGGUCUAUGUUAUUUUGUUAGGGGCCAAUUCUCCAUUGGAAUUUAAGAAUUCGGUAGGAUUUAAAGCUAGGUCUAUAUAUUAUUUUGUUAGGGCCAAUUUAGAUAUUUUCCAGCCUUUUUCAUGGGGUCCAUCAUUUUGUUUAAAGUGUCUCCAAAAGUUGGAAUUAGAAUGGUUGGUGUUAAAAUAUGAUUAGUUUUGAGCAGAGUGGAAUAAGUAGUUUAGUAUUUCUUUUUGUCAACAUCUAGUGUUUAGUAAUAUUUGUUUAAAAGUUUUAAAUAUAUGUAUAUAUACGUAUUUGUAUACAGUAUACACACGCAGAUUUUUACUCUUUGAAACAUGGAUGGAAUCGUUAAAAUUUUGGAUCUGAAAGCUAAAGUAUUAAAAAAUACACAAUUGUUCCUCGGCCAAUUUGUGACGGCGACAGCCGCGAGACUAAAAAAAUUUCCUUUAAAGACGAAUUUAUCCCUCUGUUUGUAAGAAAUUUUUAUAAAAGCUUUGUGUAGUUUUUGUCAUCUUUCCCUGUUUAUUAUAAAAACCCUGUAAAAGCCUUACCUAUUAUAUCCAUUUUUGGUCAAAAAAAUACUUUGUAAUUAAUAUCAGAAAGAAAACUAUUAGAAAAAAAAAUUAAUAUAUCCUUACCUAUUAUAUAUAUUUUGAUACACUGGAAAAAUUCAGAGGGUGAAGCCAAUGAAGGGUACCAAUUAAUACUUAAUAUAGAGACAGCCCUAUUUUCGGAAUUUUACAUUUUUCUGCCGACUUUUUUUUAAUUUAAAUUUUCAAAUUUACGCUCUAUUAAUUUUUUUUUUCACGUAUACGCUACUUCACGUCAACAAAAAUGGUGAUUUCUGUCUGAAGAACGCUUUCUCUCUCUAGAUUUUACUUUCUCUCUCUAGAGUAGUUUGACAAAGAGAGUUUACAGCGAAAGGAGAGACAAUGGGUGAGAAUCGAAUCCACCAUCACUCAGAAGUAAAUAAAAUAAGAAGUUGAGUUGAGUUUUCGAGUGAAGCAAAUAAUUCAAUCGCCAUUGCUAGGGUUCUUAAGAAGCUUUGAGAAGAAUUAAUUGAAGAUGCUGAACAUAAAAAGCAGAGAAAGAGACUCGACAAUGAUAGUACCUAUUCGAAUGUGAAUCGGAAAGAGACCGAUUCAUCGGAAAAAGACGAAGAUCUCAUUUGUCUCUACCCGCCGCAGGUAAGGUCUGCUAAUGGCUGAUCCGAGUAGGACUUCACUUGAAUUUUCAAAGUCUUUUCUGAUUGCAAUGGCGUUUUUAUGUCCCUUUCGGAUGUGGGUUUUUUUUUUUUUUUUUUUUUACUUCGGCUUGAAUUUGAAUUCGAAUUCGAACCCUCGGUCUUCCUAGAUUCAACUUUAUUCGGCGUGAAUCAGUUUCCUUUACUGAUUGGAUUUUCAAAUUUCCAUCAUCGGAACCAGAUCUAGCAAUGCGCUUGGUUCUGUAUUCUUGUGAACUCUGGGGUUUCUAUUAUUGUAAUGUGGCCUUAGUUGGGUUAAAUUGCAUCUAAAUAUGGAUAUUUGCUUUGAUGUAUUCACUGAUUCUUCUUUUCUUCGAAUUUUCCAGUGUGGAUCCGUUAGCCAUGUUUCUGUUUUAUUUUCUUUCGCGGAAUUCUGCCGCUUCAAAUUCCUAUAGCAUUUUACGUUUUUAAGAGAUGAGUUUGUGUUUGCUCUUUACUCAGGAUCCUGUGUCUUUUUUUGUCUUUCUUUUUCUUUUGGGUAUGUGAAGGGGAAAGACUGAAGAUUUUGUGCAAAAGGGAGAAGAUGAGACCAGCUAUACCUCUUGACUACGCUGUCUUCCAACUCUCCCCGAAGCGGUCAAGGUGAUGAUAUUAAUGAGUGAUUCUUCUUUGCGUUGUUAGAUUGUUAAUGUUAGAUGGUUUCUUAGAUACUCUGUGUUUUUUUUCUUUCUGGCAGAUGUGAAUUGUUUGUGUCUACUUCGGGGAAUACUGAGAAGCUUGCUUCUGGACUGGUGAAACCAUUUGUUGCUCAUUUGAAAGUUGCUGAAGAGCAGGUUGCACGAGAAGCUCAGUCUAUCAGGCUAGAAGUUGAAAGCAACAAAAAUGCUGGAACUUGGUUUACGAAAGGGACCCUCGAGAGGUUACAUUCCAUUUUUUGAACAAGAAGAUAGUGGAGCUGUGCUCAUGCUAACACUCGAAUUUUCUCGUACCUGCUGGUUUCUAGGUUUGUACGCUUUGUUAGUACCCCAGAGGUUCUGGAAAUGGUAAGCGCAUUGGAUGUGGAAAUGUCUCAGUUGGAGGCCGCUCGAAAAAUAUAUGGCGAGGUACUUCACCUCUUUUAAGGAACCAAAUGCUGUGUUAACUGGAAUGCUUUUACUGAUUUUGAUAAAUAUCUUGCUUUAGGGGACUGGUGAUCAACGACCUGGUGCAAAAGGUAUGCCUACGGAUAACUUGUCUUCUAAUUGUAUAUUAUGUUACGUAUAUCGUCCACGGGGAAUUUUGCAUUGGCUCUUAGGACUUGGUUACACUGACCUUCAAUGAUAAAAUGUUGUGAAGUGAAUUAUGAUGCUGGCAAGUCAUUUCAUGGACGCUAGAAAAGUAUCUUGUAUAGACCAUCAUUGUGCCCCUCCUGAUUACACUCUUAUACUGGCUGAGUUUACACAAUGUACGCCUCCAAAAUUAAUGAGCUACCGCUAGAAAUCUUACUGCCAAAUGUGAGAAAGGCAUCUACAGGCUCACCUUAUGAGUGGCAU
rnacentral:lncRNA from 1 species